AGAGUUUGAUCCUGGCUCAGGAUAAACGCUGGCGGCGCACAUAAGACAUGCAAGUCGAACGGACGACUUUGAUCUGUUUUACUUAUCAAAGAAGUUAGUGGCGGACUGGUGAGUAACACGUAAGCAACCUGCCUACAAAAGGGGAACAACAGCGAGAAAUCGCUGCUAAUACCGCAUAAGCUAACGCCUUCGCAUGAAGAAGUUAGAAAAGGAGUAAUCCGUUUGUAGAUGGGCUUGCGUCUGAUUAGCUAGUUGGUGUGGUAACGGCAUACCAAGGCGACGAUCAGUAGCUGUGCUGAGAGGCAAAACAGCCACAUUGGGACUGAGAUACGGCCCAGACUCCUACGGGAGGCAGCAGUCGGGAAUAUUGCACAAUGGAGGAAACUCUGAUGCAGUGACGCCGCGUAUAGGAAGAAGGUUUUCGGAUUGUAAACUAUUUUAGACAGGGAAGAAUAAAGACGGUACCUGUAGAAUAAGCCCCGGCUAACUAUGUGCCAGCAGCCGCGGUAAUACAUAGGGGGCAAGCGUUAUCCGGAAUUAUUGGGCGUAAAGGGUGCGUAGACGGGAAAAUAAGUUAGUUGUGAAAUCCCUCGGCUUAACUGAGGAACUGCAACUAAAACUGUUUUUCUUGAGUGCAGGAGAGGAAAGCGGAAUUCCUAGUGUAGCGGUGAAAUGCGUAGAUAUUAGGAGGAACACCAGUGGCGAAGGCGGCUUUCUGGACUGUAACUGACGUUGAGGCACGAAAGUGUGGGGAGCAAACAGGAUUAGAUACCCUGGUAGUCCACACUGUAAACGAUGGAUACUAGGUGUAGGAGGUAUUAAGCCUUCUGUGCCGUCGCAAACGCAGUAAGUAUCCCGCCUGGGGAGUACGGCCGCAAGGUUGAAACUCAAAGGAAUUGACGGGGGCCCGCACAAGCAGUGGAGUAUGUGGUUUAAUUCGAUGCAACGCGAAGAACCUUACCAGGGCUUGACAUAUACAGGAAUAACUAAGAGAUUAGUUAGCUCUUCGGAGUCUGUAUACAGGUGGUGCAUGGUUGUCGUCAGCUCGUGUCGUGAGAUGUUGGGUUAAGUCCCGCAACGAGCGCAACCCUUAUCCUCAGUAGCCAGCAGGUAAAGCUGGGCACUCUGUGGAGACUGCCAGGGACAACCUGGAGGAAGGUGGGGAUGACGUCAAAUCAUCAUGCCCCUUAUGACUUGGGCUACACACGUGCUACAAUGGCGUAAACAAAGGGAAGCGAGCCUGCGAGGGGGAGCAAAUCCCAAAAAUAACGUCCCAGUUCGGACUGUAGUCUGCAACCCGACUACACGAAGCUGGAAUCGCUAGUAAUCGCGAAUCAGAAUGUCGCGGUGAAUACGUUCCCGGGUCUUGCACUCACCGCCCGUCA
rnacentral:rRNA from 1 species